UACGGAGGGCGCAAGCGUUGUUCGGCCUUACGGGGCGUAAAGCGCGUGUAGGUGACCUGGCAAGUCGGGUGUGAAAUCCCGGAGCUCAACUCCGGAACUGCAUCCGAUACUGCCAAGCUCGAGUCUCGGAGAGGAUGGCGGAAUUUCCGGUGUAGAGGUGAAAUUCGUAGAUAUCGGAAGGAACACCAGUGGCGAAGGCGGCCGUCUGGACGAUGACUGACACUGAGACGCGAAAGCUUGGGGAGCAAACAGG
rnacentral:rRNA from 1 species